ACCACCUUGGAUUGUUCAUCUGUCAUUUCCCCUUCAGUGGUUCUUCCUCUCGAAGCCUUUCUUUCUGCCAACCUUUCCAUUCAGUCCGCUUUAGUUUAUCAAAUGCUUAAUUGAACGUAGGCACAUACCAGUUCCUGUCACCCAAGGAGGUGAGGAGCAGGUGACAAGAUAGGGAAAGGUAGUGUUGCAGAAUAUGUCACAUGUCAACACAGUCCCAUGUAAAUGUUUUAGUUAGUUUGCCCCAGUUUAGGGACCUGAAUAUACUUUUUCAUCAGGCUAGAAUCACUGCAGGGGUUUUGGUAAGGAGAAAGGACAUUUUUCUUUUGCAGAACUUGAGAUCGUGUGGAAAAAUAAGAUCCUAAGGGGGGGUAAAUUUAUGGAAAGUCAUCUUUAUAUUAAUCAUCAAAGCUGAUGUCUAAAUAAAGACAAUGUGAUUGAGAUUUUGCACAUUUUAAAUUACUAGUAGUGGAUAAAGCACUCAAUUUUCACUUACCAUUCCUGCUUCAAAAAAAGAAGUGUUAAAUUUUCUUCCCAGCAGAUUCAAGGAGAUGCUUGCUUAUUUGUUUUGAUUUGUUGCAGAUAAUAUGCAUGCAGAGAGGUUUUCCUUUUCUGAGUCUCAUUUUCCAUCCACAUAUUCAAUGUCUUCUUGACUUGCAGACUUAGGAUUGUUGAUUUUCCACCCCUCUAGUUCUGCCCGCUGGGCCACUGGCUACAGUGUGCAGGUUGGGAUCAAAGGACUGUGACUGGCCAAGGGGGCACAUGGUUCUGACUCUCAGCCCAUGAGGUUUGCCAGGUUGGACUCCCUGGCUUGUGGCUGCAUUACAUUUUUAUAAUUCUGUCGUGAUUCAGAGAUGUUAAGUAAGUUGGUGCUUGAGAUAGAAAGGUUUAGGAUAAUCUUAUUUAACCAGUGAGGCCCAGCUCAACGGGUAAUUGUCAGCCCUUCUACCCAUCUCCCAGGGUUUAUCGCCUCAGGCAUGGCCCUGGUAUCUGUGUGCAGAAACAAACCUGUCAACUCUUCUUUCCCAUCUUAGCAACCUCCUUCCUCUCAGACCAAUUCCCAGUGCUAAGGACCUGGUUACCCUUCCUCCUUGUGAUUCCUGCAGCUACAAUAACAAAUUGUCACGAAACGUAUCCUCUCACAUUUCUGGAGGUCAGAAGUCCAAAGCCAGGUUAUCAGCAGGGCUGCAGUCCCUCCAAUGGCUCUGGCAGAGAACCCUGUCUUGCCUCUUCCUCCUCCAGCCUCUGGUGACAGUUGAUGUUCCUUCACUUGUGGCAGCAGCAUCCAAUCUGUGCUUCUGUCCUCACCUAGCCUGCUUUCUUGUGUGUGACUCUGUGUUCUUUCCUGUCUCUGAAUAGAACUUUCUCAUUUAGGGCCCAUCCUAAUCCAGCAUGAUCAUAUUUCAAUCUUUACCUUCAUCAUGUUUUGAUGACCUGAUUUUCAAAUAAGGUCACAUUCUGAGGCUGUAAGUGACAUGACUUUGGAGUCGAUGCCAUUCACCCCACCACACUCAUCUACUUUAACUUUAUCAAGACUUCGAUGCAAGCACAUCUACUUCUUACACCCCCUGUUUUACCUCCUUUUCCUAUUUUCAACUCCCUGUUCCUCUUUUCCUCAUUUACCCCUUUAAGAAUGACUUAUAAUUUGUGUGCACAAGAUUUGACUAUUCUGCAUUUCCAAAGAGAUGUACAAAGUAAGAAAGGCAAGUCCAGAGGCCAGAGGUGAAGCCCAGCUUCUGUGUUUCUAACAUCAAGGAUGCUGCCCUGCCCAGGACCAACACCCGGCAAACUUUGGAUGAUGUCUGUAAGGUGAUGUUCACCAACAUCUUCAACAGCGGGCUGAAAGCCAAGCAGACAUGCUCACUCUCAGUCCUCUGGAAGGCCCAAGAGAGCCCUUGCCUGCUACCUGAGUAGAUGAGGACCUCCAGGGCUACCUGGCCUUUGUGGAUUCCAGACCUCCUGUAUCAGCUGAGCUCCAGGAGAGCCCCAGCAGCGCUCUCUUUUCUUGCUGCCUCGGUGCUCAAGACAAUGGUCUGAGUGUCCAGCUGAUUCUGUUGCUCACUUCUGCCUCUCCCAUUGUGUGGAUGCCUCUCUCAUCCCUUGCCUGAGGGACCACAGAUGGCCUGAAAUGGGUGACCUCAGCACUUCCACAAGAGGACCUUGUCAUUACGCGUGGCUUUGCCCUUUUAUGGAAUGGAACAGUCGCCCACACAGUAGACUUGCUGUAAUACCAUCCGCCGAGAAAACAAUUAAGAAAACUGAAAAAUAAAGCCUAAACAUUGGCAGUUAGGCUAUUAGGGUGAAUCAAACUUGUGUUUUGUUUUGUUUUGUUUUUUAAAGCCUG